CCUACGGGGGGCUGCAGUAAGGAAUAUUCCGCAAUGGGCGCAAGCCUGACGGAGCGACGCCGCGUGGAGGAUGAAGUCCUUCGGGAUGUAAACUUCAAUAGUUUGUGAGGAAGUGAAGGGACCUAAUACGUCCUGAUUUGACCAGCAGACGAAAGGGGUGGCUAACUCCGUGCCAGCAGCCGCGGUAAUACGGAGACCCCAAGCGUUGUUCGGAAUCACUGGGCUUAGAGCGGGUGUAGGCGGAGCGGUAAGUACUUUGUGAAAUCCCCGGGCUCAACCCGGGAAUUGCUUGGUAUACUGCCGUUCUUGAGGCAGGCAGGGGUCACUGGAACCUUAGGUGGAGCGGUGAAAUGCGUAGAUAUCUAAGGGAACGCCUGUGGCGAAAGCGGGUGACUGGGCCUGUUCUGACGCUGAGACCCGAAAGCGUGGGUAGCAAACGGGAUUAGAUACCCCUGUAGUC
rnacentral:rRNA from 1 species